AUCGUAGUGCAAAUGAUAGCAUUGCAAACGUGUCCACGGAAGGCAUGGUAACCUGUAAGCUUGGGUACGAGUACAAGGGUAAUCAGCCUGUCUGCAUUGGGAAUAACACGAUAUUGCCAUGCACAGCGUGUAAGCCUCGCCCUGGUGAUCACAUCAGAGCUAUAAACAAUGAAGGUUAUGUUACGUGCCAUUCUGGCUAUGAAUACUUGGAUGGUCAGCCGGCUUGCACUGGAACUAAUACGCUUGGAACCUGUACAGCCAUAACGACACCAAGACCGAUAGUGCCAAUCCCUAAGGGACCAGAGACAGCUGCACAAGCUACCACACAGACUCCCACAACUGAGGAAGCAACAACACA